rnacentral:rRNA from 1 species
AAAUGAAUGAGUGCACCCUGCUGUUGCAGCGUCUUCAGUGUGAUAAGCAUCUUCACUGGAACAAAGUCCUCAGGGACACGCAAGCAUUGUGGGCUCUGCGCUGGCAAACCGUCUUUGGACAAUCUUUGACAAUUUGACCUCAAAUCGGGUGGGACUACCCGCUGAACUUAAGCAUAUCAAUAAGCGGAGGAAAAGAAACUAACAAGGAUUCCCCUAGUAACGGCGAGUGAAGAGGGAAAAGCUCAAAUUUUGAAUCUGGUGUCUUUGGCGCCCGAGUUGUAAUCUAGAGAAGUGUUUUCUGCCUCGGACCACACAUAAAUUCCCUGGAAUGGGGUGUCAUAGAGGGUGAGAAUCCCGUUUGUGGUGUGGACUACCUUGGCUCUGUGAUACACUCUCAACGAGUCGAGUUGUUUGGGAAUGCAGCUCAAAAUGGGUGGUAAAUUCCAUCUAAAGCUAAAUAUUGGCGAGAGACCGAUAGCGAACAAGUACCGUGAGGGAAAGAUGAAAAGCACUUUGGAAAGAGAGUGAAACAGUACGUGAAAUUGUUGAAAGGGAAGCGUUUGAAGUCAGUCACAUUGGUCGGAAUUCAGCCUGGCUUCUGCCUGGUGUAUUUUCUGGCAAAUGGGUCAGUGUCAAUUUUGAUCGAGAGAGAAAGACUUGAGGAAUGUGGCUGUCUUCGGGCAGUGUUAUAGCCUCUUGUUGUAU